rnacentral:rRNA from 1 species
GGUUUGGGUUCCAUUGUCAGGACGAACCCCUGCCGGCGUGCCUUAAUACAUGCAAGUUCGAGCGGAACAGAAGGGGAGCUUGCUUCCCUGAUUGUUAGCCGGCACGGGUGGAGUAACACCUUGGGUAACCUGCCUGUUAGGACUGGGAUAAUUCCGGGAAACCGGGAGUUAUUCCGGAUUAGUGCCUGAACCGCCUGGUUCCAACGUAGAAGGUGGGUUUGGGUAGUAAUUACCGGAGGACCCGCCGCGUUAAGUUAUUGGUGAGGUUAAGGCUUCACCAGGCAGCGGAGGGUUGCCGGCCUGAGAAGGUGAUUGGCCCCCAUGGGGAUGAGGCCCGGCCAUUCUUCGGGAAGCCGCCAUUAGGAAUUUUUCGCCAAUGAAGAAAAUUUGGCGGAACAACCCCGGCUGAAUGAUGAAGGUUUUUGGAUUGUAAAAGUUUGGUGGUUAGGAAGGACCAGUUCCGUGAGUAUAUGCUGGCACCUUGACGGUACCUAACCAGAAAGCCACGGCUAACUACGUGCCAGCAGCCGCGGUAAUACGUAGGUGGCAAGCGUUGUCCGGAAUUAUGGCGUAAAGGGCUCGCAGGCGGUUUCUUAAGUCUGAUGUGAAAGCCCCCGGCUCAACCGGGGAGGGUCAUUGGAAACUGGGGAACUUGAGUGCAGAAGAGGAGAGUGGAAUUCCACGUGUAGCGGUGAAAUGCGUAGAGAUGUGGAGGAACACCAGUGGCGAAGGCGACUCUCUGGUCUGUAACUGACGCUGAGGAGCGAAAGCGUGGGGAGCGAACAGGAUUAGAUACCCUGGUAGUCCACGCCGUAAACGAUGAGUGCUAAGUGUUAGGGGGUUUCCGCUUAGUGCUGCAGCUAACGCAUUAAGCACUCCGCCUGGGAGAC